ACCCACACAGACACUUGAUACCAAGUCAGGUAACCCCUGUACCCACACAGACACUUGAUACCAAGUCAGGUAACCCCUGUACCCACACAGACACUUGAUACCAAGUCAGUUAACCCCUGUACCCACACAGACACUUGAUACCAAGUCAGGUAACCCCUGUACCCACACAGACACUUGAUACCAAGUCAGGUAACCCCUGUACCCACACAGACACUUGAUACCAAGUCAGGUAACCCCUGUACCCACACAGACACUUGAUACCAAGUCAGGUAACCCCUGUACCCACACAGACACUUGACACCAAGUCAGGUAACCCCUGUACCCACACAGACACUUGAUACCAAGUCAGGUAACCCCUGUACCCACACAGACACUUGAUACCAAGUCAGGUAACCCCUGUACCCACACAGACACUUGAUACCAAGUCAGGUAACCCCUGUACCCACACAGACACUUGAUACCAAGUCAGUUAACCCCUGUACCCACACAGACACUUGAUACCAAGUCAGGUAACCCCUGUACCCACACAGACACUUGAUACCAAGUCAGUUAACCCCUGUACCCACACAGACACUUGAUACCAAGUCAGGUAACCCCUGUACCCACACAGACACUUGAUACCAAGUCAGUUAACCCCUGUACCCACACAGACACUUGAUACCAAGUCAGGUAACCCCUGUACCCACACAGACACUGGACACCAAGUCAGGUAACCCCUGUACCCACACAGACACUGGACACCAAGUCAGGUAACCCCUGUACCCACACAGACACUUGAUACCAAGUCAGGUAACCCCUGUACCCACACAGA